rnacentral:rRNA from 1 species
CACGUAGGGGCCAAGCGUUGUCCGGAUUAUUGGGCGUAAAGAGCUCGUAGGCGGCUCGGUAAGUCGGGUGUGAAACCUCCAGGCUCAACCUGGAGACGCCACCCGAUACUGCUGUGGCUAGAGUCCGGUAGGGGAGCGUGGAAUUCCUGGUGUAGCGGUGAAAUGCGCAGAUAUCAGGAGGAACACCAGCGGCGAAGGCGGCGCUCUGGGCCGGAACUGACGCUGAGGAGCGAAAGCGUGGGUAGCAAACAGG